AUGUAGGCUGUAGUUUGGCCUCUAGAUGGCAGUCUUAGAUUGACACAAGAUUGCUGGAGCUGUUAAGUUCUCACGCACCCCUUUUGACUUUUGUCAUGGCUUUCUUUCAGAUGCGGAGGGAUUAAAUCCAUGGCAGAGCACCCCGGACCGGGCGAGGGGGUUCCCGCAGGAAGGAGGUCAAGCCGGAUCUCAGCCAUCAAGGUGAAGCGAGCGAGGCGGUCCACCGGCAAGAUGUCCCGGUCUGGGAUGCUGGCAGCCAGGUGCUGCUGCUGCCUUGGACAUGCCAAGAAAUAGACACAAUCAGGUAUUUUCUGGG